rnacentral:rRNA from 1 species
AUGGGUGAUAAGGUCCGUGUUCGAAAGGGAAACAGCCCAGACCACCAGCUAAGGUCCCAAAAUAUAUGUUAAGUGGAAAAGGAUGUGGCGUUGCCCAGACAACUAGGAUGUUGGCUUAGAAGCAGCCAUCAUUUAAAGAGUGCGUAAUAGCUCACUAGUCGAGUGACACUGCGCCGAAAAUGUACCGGGGCUAAACAUAUUACCGAAGCUGUGGAUUGUCCGUAGGACAAUGGUAGGAGAGCGUUCUAAGGGCGUUGAAGCAUGAUCGCAAGGACAUGUGGAGCGCUUAGAAGUGAGAAUGCCGGUGUGAGUAGCGAAAGACGGGUGAGAAUCCCGUCCACCGAUUGACUAAGGUUUCCAGAGGAAGGCUCGUCCGCUCUGGGUUAGUCGGGUCCUAAGCUGAGGCCGACAGGCGUAGGCGAUGGAUAACAGGUUGAUAUUCCUGUACCACCUAGCAUCGUUUUAAUCGAUGGGGGGACGCAGUAGGAUAGGCGAAGCGUACGAUUGGAUUGUACGUCUAAGCAGUGAGAUUGAGUGUUAGGCAAAUCCGGCACUCUUAAGAUUGAGCUGUGAUGGGGAGAGGAAAUUGUUUCCUCGAGUCGUUGAUUUCACACUGCCGAGAAAAGCCUCUAGAUAGAUAAUAGGUGCCCGUACCGCAAACCGACACAGGUAGUCAAGAUGAGAAUUCUAAGGUGAGCGAGCGAACUCUCGUUAAGGAACUCGGCAAAAUGACCCCGUAACUUCGGGAGAAGGGGUGCUCUUUAGGGUGCAAGCCCAGAAGAGCCGCAGUGAAUAGGCCCAAGCGACUGUUUAUCAAAAACACAGGUCUCUGCUAAACCGUAAGGUGAUGUAUAGGGGCUGACGCCUGCCCGGUGCUGGAAGGUUAAGAGGAGUGGUUAGCUUCUGCGAAGCUACGAAUCGAAGCCCCAGUAAACGGCGGCCGUAACUAUAACGGUCCUAAGGUAGCGAAAUUCCUUGUCGGGUAAGUUCCGACCCGCACGAAAGGCGUAACGAUUUGGGCACUGUCUCAACGAGAGACUCGGUGAAAUCAUAGUACCUGUGAAGAUGCAGGUUACCCGCGACAGGACGGAAAGACCCCGUGGAGCUUUACUGUAGCCUGAUAUUGAAAUUCGGCACAGCUUGUACAGGAUAGGUAGGAGCCUUUGAAACGUGAGCGCUAGCUUACGUGGAGGCGCUGGUGGGAUACUACCCUAGCUGUGUUGGCUUUCUAACCCGCACCACUUAUCGUGGUGGGAGACAGUGUCAGGCGGGCAGUUUGACUGGGGCGGUCGCCUCCUAAAAGGUAACGGAGGCGCUCAAAGGUUCCCUCAGAAUGGUUGGAAAUCAUUCAUAGAGUGUAAAGGCAUAAGGGAGCUUGACUGCGAGACCUACAAGUCGAGCAGGGUCGAAAGACGGACUUAGUGAUCCGGUGGUUCCGCAUGGAAGGGCCAUCGCUCAACGGAUAAAAGCUACCCCGGGGAUAACAGGCUUAUCUCCCCCAAGAGUUCACAUCGACGGGGAGGUUUGGCACCUCGAUGUCGGCUCAUCGCAUCCUGGGGCUGUAGUCGGUCCCAAGGGUUGGGCUGUUCGCCCAUUAAAGCGGUACGCGAGCUGGGUUCAGAACGUCGUGAGACAGUUCGGUCCCUAUCCGUCGUGGGCGUAGGAAAUUUGAGAGGAGCUGUCCUUAGUACGAGAGGACCGGGAUGGACAUACCUCUGGUGUACCAGUUGUCGUGCCAACGGCAUAGCUGGGUAGCUAUGUAUGGACGGGAUAAGUGCUGAAAGCAUCUAAGCAUGAAGCCCCCCUCAAGAUGAGAUUUCCCAACUUCGGUUAUAAGAUCCCUCAAAGAUGAUGAGGUUAAUAGGUUCGAGGUGGAAGCGUGGUGACACGUGGAGCUGACGAAUACUAAUCGAUCGAAGACUUAAUCAA